UUAAUUUGUAACGCAGACUAUACUUGUGUUACUUUUAAAUACCGACUAUUUGUGUUAAUUUUAAGAUAAACUGUUUGUGUUAAAAUUUAAAUCCAAAUUCAGAUAAUACCAAUUAAAUCAAACACAUUCCGAUUCUUGUCCUCGGCAACACUUCCAAAGUGUUAAAUAGCAAAUUAAUUUAAAAUUUCAAACAGUGAAAUAUGUCGAUUUAACACAAAAUAAUCAACCCGAAAAUUCCAACACAGAUACGCAAUAUUUUCACUGAGCAACUUUGUUGCAAAGUAUCAAAAAUAAAAUAAAGAAAACAAAACGCUUCUGGAAUAACAUCUAUAAUGGAUAUAUUUAUAUUUCGCUGACGGGGCUGCGCAAAAAUCAAAAACUUUCUCGAGAAAGGAAAGAGGAUAAAAAUUUAAAAUAACUAGUCAGCCAUAAUGAUACUACGGACCUCAGCUAGUCUACACCUACUACACCUGCACUCCGCCUUACUAAAUUGUAAAAAAAAGAGACAGCAACAACAGAUACAACUGUUAUGAAAUAUGAAGUAUGCGUAUAAUACAAGAAAUAGCUUACCCUGCAGAAAAUGAAUUCCAGAGAAGAAAAAGUAAUUUAUCGGCGUUGAAAAAACUGAAGAAAAGUUUAAGAAGUGC